rnacentral:snRNA from 1 species
GCUUUUCAGCAAUGAAGAUCUU